ensembl:lncRNA
GGGGAGCGAAGCGCGGAGCGGAGCGGCCGUCGGUCCCGCGCCGGAGGUGGUCGCGCCGCGCCUCUGUCCCGGGGCUUCGGGAGCGGAUUUUUUCCCUCUCUCUCUCUCUCUCUCUCUCUUCUCUCUCUUCUCUCUCUCUCUCUCCCUCCUCUCUCUCUUCCUCUUCCCGGCUGCUAUUUUAAGAAACACCCCAAAUCGCUGCACUUUCCCUGCCCUCCCCCCCCCCCCCAAAAAAAAGAGAGGAUUCCCCCCACACCGCCCCGGCACGUAAUCAAAAAUUAAAAAUCAAAAAUGAAAAAUGAAAAAAGAGACAUAGAAAUGUAUAAAAAAAUAAAGGAGACUUCGAAGAGGGGCAGAGCAGCCCUCGCACCGAGCCCUCGGACCGGGGGGAAAGAGGCGAGAAGAGACGGGGUAAUUGACUAUUGCUAACAAGUUAUUGUUGAUUGGGAGGUAAUCAAUUAUCUUCAAUGACACUUUUCGCCCUCUCUCUCUCUCGCUCGCUCUCUCCCGCUCUGUCCAAUGCAGGCUUUUGCAAGUUCGGAGACCCAUUAAUUAGGAGGCGGUAUGGAGGUGGAGCCCGGUUGAAUUAUAAUGCUGAAUGCACUUGUCAUAUUCGGGCCCUGCUAUUUGUUAGGACAUAUAUAUUUUUAAAUUACAUUACAAAGCAGCCUUUAUUGCAUCGGGGUAAUACGGCAGAGUGAAUAAUAAUAAUAACAAAACAAAAACACGGCGGCAUCGUUUAAAAAAUUCUUUUACUUUAUUAUUAUUAUUUUUUAAUCGAGAUUUUUUUUUUCCUUCCUUUUCCUGUUUCUCCCUCCUCUAAAUUUCGGCUUCUGCUUUAUUUCAAACGUCUCCCUCCGGCUCAACCCGGAGCCCUUCUGCUGUUUUAAUGAGGGGAAGAAGGGGAGAACGUGUCUCCAGUCCGAUCGGCAAUCAGCCCCGAAUUAGAGACCCUCCGCACCCCACAGUCCCAUCGCGUCUCCCCUCCUUCCGCGGGCAGCCCGGGGCGGAUCCUGCCGCCUGCUCCAAACUUCUCAUCCUUCGGGCUCUCCUCCUGCCCGCCCCGACGGCGGCUCUUUUCUCCUCAUUUUGGGGUCGUUCGGGGAAAAACGCCCUCAAUGGGAGAAUUUCGUACCCCCGCCUCAAUUUUGCCAAGGAGGGACUCGGCACCAGACUCGUCCCGGAAAAGUUUGGGGCCGAGAGGGA